UACGAAGGGGGCUAGCGUUGCUCGGAAUCACUGGGCGUAAAGCGCACGUAGGCGGUUUUUUAAGUCAGAGGUGAAAGCCCGGAGCUCAACUCCGGAAUUGCCUUUGAGACUGGGAGACUUGAAUCCAGGAGAGGUGAGUGGAAUUCCGAGUGUAGAGGUGAAAUUCGUAGAUAUUCGGAAGAACACCAGUGGCGAAGGCGACUCACUGGACACAUAUUGACGCUGAGGUGCGAAAGCGUGGGGAGCAAACAGG
rnacentral:rRNA from 1 species